GCAGGUGUAGUUAAAUGGUAUAACUCUAGCCUUCCAAGCUAAUAUCGGCAGUUCGAUUCUGCUCACCUGCUCCA
rnacentral:tRNA from 1 species